GAAGUAUGUUGAGGGGAAAGUGAAGGUCACUCCAGUAAGAACAGUGCGGACAACCUUAGCCAUAUUUCUAAUGAAAUUAAGAGGAGGGGAGUCAAAUCGAAUUCUGUCCACUCUAUUCAACAUAUCCAAAUCCAGUGUACAUAGAGGUGUGAAAUCAAUACGGACAGCACUGAUGAAUGGUGGAUUUGUAGCCGAAAAUCUGGGAUUUGGACAUGUUACCAGUGAACAGAUAAUUAAGGAGCACACAAGACCUCUAGGCCAGAUGUUUCUUGGUGAAACAGUUUCCCAGCCAGCAAUACUUGUCCUUGAUGGUACUUAUAUUAAUAUACACAAAAGGGGCAAUUUCAAGUUUACAACAUGACACAAUGAUGCUACAAUCCUUAACCACAUAAUGCACAGCAACCUUGAGGACAUUCGGAGCUGGGUACAGGAGGACAUAUUUGUGGUUGAUCGUGGAUUUAGGGAUUCCUUAGACUGUCUAGAGCAGAUGGGGAUUAAUGCAAAAAUGCCUUCAUUCCUGAACAAAGGAGAUAAGCAGAUGUCGACAGAAAAUGCAAACACCAGUUGAUUAGUGACAAAGAUACGUUGGGUUGUUGAGUCUGCUAACGCUAGGAUCAAGCAAUGGCGUUACCGAAGACACAUCCUACCUUCCAGUCAAAUUCCCUACAUUGGUGACUUUGUCAGGAUUAUACCUAAAACCCCUUGCUAGUGGAGACACUGAAGAAGACCAGGGCUGCGUUUUACAAAAGAACUUACGACUUACGACCAAAUUAAUGAAUGCUAAUUAAUCACCAACUAAUCAAUGAAUUAUUCUUAUGGCUGGAAAAUAUAAUGGAAAUUGGAAUAUUUAUAAACAAAUGGUUUUAUGUCAAUUUUGUUCUUUGAAGAUCAUUUUACGAGGCUGUAAAUAUUAACGACUUUGUCGUAAGUCCUUUUGUAAAAUGCCUUGGUGCAAAAAUGGUUUUCCUCUCCAAGCAAGUAAAUACCCUUCAGUAUCAUAUAGAAGAAAACCAUUUGGACAGACAAUCAGUAUGCUGGAAG